AGGAGACCACACGGUCACAGGGAGAAUGUACAGACAGCGUCAGAAUUGAUCUCCAAACUGCGAUGCCUUGAGCUGUAAUCGCAUUCCUCCAACAGUGACAUUACUGUGGUGCCCUCUGUCAGUGAUAUUAAAAGUCAUUCUGAUUCUGAUCUCCCUACAGGAGAUGUGGCAACCUGGUUCUUGGCAGAUCAUAAUGGUCUUCACAGAAGUAGUCAAUCAAGAGAUGCAAGAGACCACAGUGAAGCAAAGCUGCCUGUACAUUCAUUAAUUUUGGAUCCUGCUGCGUCACGCUGUACAAAAAGUAUAUGAUAAGUUCUCCUCUUUAGACCAAACAUAAAAAAUGUUUGUUCUGAGGGUUCUUUUGAAGACCCUGACCUGGAGUUACAUUCUUCGCGGGAAUGGAUCCCAAUCUCAGGGUUUCACAACCAGCCGUUGUUGUUCGGCACGCCAAAGGCUCAGCCUAAGAGCCCAGUUUGGAUUCGGAAGCCUAGGAUCUCGGGUCUCUGGAGAUGGGUGGAUCGAGGUUUGGUGUCACGACACAGAGACCUGUGUGUCAUCGGGGGAGUCGGGAUAUCUGUGAUUGUGUGCCUGGAGACCCGAGAUCGUUGCGAUCUUCAGGGCCAGAGCUCAAAAAAAGCAAAGUCGUAGACGAGUUGUUUGUUAUGUCUCCCUGCUCGCUGGGAAAAUGGAGACACCACUUUCUCCCUUAUUGGGGAGAGAGGGAACCUGCGGCGGGGAUUGAGCCCAAGUUGCCAAAGAUUUAAUGCAGCAGUUCUAUUAACUGUGCACACACUCUGCAUUCCACACCAGCUGAUUAAACUGAGGAAAGUUGACUCACACAGAACAAAAGCAGGGGAUAGUGUGAAUGCAGCCAGUUCUCUGCUUUUAUACCAAACAGAAUCUCAGAAGUCUCUCUGAAAGUGGUACCUGAUCACUACAAGCACCUGCUUCCAGGUGUCACCAGUGCAGUGUAUUUAAUACUUCUGUAACAUUUGAGUAAUAUUGUAAAUGCAUUUUUGAUUAAAUAUUCUGUUUACAUCAUUCAUUAUAGGUUGUACGUAAGGUGUAUGUGAAUGGCAUAUGUCAUUACAACACCACGUCACAUCUGAGCUCCUUACUAAAGAAAAGAAACCAUGUCACCUCCUGUGUUUUUGAAGUUACAAAACAUAACAUCACCACAUUACAAACUGUUGGGACAUGUUACUUAUUGCAUGUCCUGAAAUCCAUGCUAUGGAAGCUACAAAGCAUUGGACUGCAAGAUGCUACAGAGGAUAGUGAAACAAAAUUAAAGGGAUUACUGAGGACUCCCUGACCUCUAUUUGUGACAUUUACUGGAAGCGUUGUUUAGGGUUCCUAUCACCCAUCCCACUAUCUCUUUGAUCCACUACCGUCAGGACGGAGUUCCAGGAGCAUCAAGGACGAGGACCACUGGGCUAGGUAACAGCUCCUUCCCUCGGGCUGUGAGACUAUUGUCACCACCCAGGUCUUGUCACUAGGACAGUGAGUGUUCACUGCUUAAUGUUUACUCGAACUGCUUUGGACACGGCAUGCAUUCUGAAUUAUAUUUAUUAACUUAUUUGGAGUAAUAUUUUGGUUUAUGUUUUGUGUGUGAUAUAUUUUUUAUGGGUGCACCGUGGUCUGGAGG